UACGGAGGGAGCUAGCGUUGCUCGGAAUUACUGGGCGUAAAGCGCGCGUAGGCGGCCUUGCAAGUUAGAGGUGAAAGCCCGGAGCUCAACUCCGGAACUGCCUUUAAAACUGCAUAGCUUGAAUCCGGGAGAGGUGAGUGGAAUUCCGAGUGUAGAGGUGAAAUUCGUAGAUAUUCGGAAGAACACCAGUGGCGAAGGCGGCUCACUGGACCGGUAUUGACGCUGAGGUGCGAAAGCGUGGGGAGCAAACAGG
rnacentral:rRNA from 1 species